CUGAAGAGUUUGAUCAUGGCUCAGAUUGAACGCUGGCGGCAGGCUUAACACAUGCAAGUCGAGCGGUAACAGGGGGAGCUUGCUCCCCGCUGACGAGCGGCGGACGGGUGAGUAAUGCAUAGGAAACUGCCCAGUAGAGGGGGAUAGCCCGGGGAAACCCGGAUUAAUACCGCAUACGCCCUUCGGGGGAAAGCAGGGGAUCUUCGGACCUUGCGCUAUUGGAUGUGCCUAUGUCGGAUUAGCUAGUUGGUGGGGUAAGAGCCUACCAAGGCGACGAUCCGUAGCUGGUCUGAGAGGAUGAUCAGCCACAUCGGGACUGAGACACGGCCCGAACUCCUACGGGAGGCAGCAGUGGGGAAUAUUGGA
rnacentral:rRNA from 1 species